rnacentral:lncRNA from 12 species
AACUGAGUCACAAGACAGCAAAUAGCUUCCUAAAUGCACAUAGCUAGUAUGUGAUGUAGCUGACACUUAAUUUUUCUUUCUCUAAAUGCAGUGUAUUUUAUAAUUACAGGGAAAAUGCAAAAUGGAAAAAAAAUAAGAUUUUCUGAGCAAAGGAAAUGGAUAAAAAAAAAUCUGGGAAAGAUGAUGUAAUUCACUAUCAGAAGAAGCCAAACAGCAUCAUUCUGAUACCCUUGUAAAGCCAAUGAUCUUGGACCUGUGGAUGUUUAAUUGGAAAUGAUUUGGAAAAACACAAUUCUCAUUAUGCAGUAGCCACUUGUUCCCUUAAGGGGUGAGCCUGCUUCUAACAACUCCCUCAAAAGGCUCUGUAACCCGUCCAAAAGAUGAUGUCAAGUGCUACAAGGACCCAGGUCAGCCCUGCAUCAUAGGUAACAGUUACCCCAGUGAUAAAGUUACAAGGCAGGUUUUGAAUGAGAUUGUGUUUUUAAAUGAAAGACUGGCUGGAAAUGUAGACUUGGACCAAGCAUUAAUAGAGGAAAAUUUGAGACAAACAGAGGUUAGCGUUUGGUUUCUUUGUGGUGUUCAGCAAAGGUCAGAAAAGGUUCUAAAACAGAAGGAACCCAAAGUUUCAAUGAGGAGUUGUGGUAUUCUAUUAAUACAUGAGCAUGUAGACUAGACAAAGUGAACUCUAGGUUUAGCCAAGAGUUGUUUUGUGACAUGGAAGCUUCAGUUAUUCAGCUGGAACUGGUCACUUAAUUUGGAUAAAUCCCUGAGCAGUUGA